AAUGAAUGAAGUGUCACAUCACCUCCUGGCUGCAGGGAAGUCAGAGAGCAUUGGGAAUCUUGCAAAAUAUUUUGCAGACUGGACCCCUGUCUCAGUCUGAACUCACCCCCGCCUUUUGCCUCAGGUAGAGAACAGUGUCUCUUUAGAGUCAUCAGCCUGAGUGCCUGCGCAAUGCUACCUCCUCUGGACUUUUGGGACUGUACCAAGACCCUGGUUUUGAACACCCAUGAACUUUGGGAAAGCUUAGAUCCGGCUGCAGACUUGAACUUCACAGCUGGACCUAUACCCCUGUGAUGACCAAUACAAAUGACAAAGCUGAACACCUUUGCUGUGUGGGAAUGCUCAGAAAACUGGGUCUGAAUGCUGAAGAAUAGAAAACCCUAGGACUUUAUCCUCUUAAUUAGUGAUGGUGAACCUCAAAAAGGCUAUAGGUUAAUUUCAUAUAAGAAACAAAGAGGCAGGUUCUUGGGUAUGGCCAAGAAAUGCUGAGUGCAACUGGGGUGGGGAAUAAAUUAGCUCUUUGUGCCUUUCCAAACCUAUGGCCAAGUAUGCUCUGAACAACACCUGCUGUCAACUGCCUGCAGGGGCUUAUCUGCCAGCCAGGGAUCACCAUGGCCCCCAGCAUGUAUGGGGGGCAUUGACAUGGGGU